CACACCACUGGUGUUAAUGGAGAGGUGCGAGUUUACUAUACCACCCCUCCUUAACACACACACACACACACACACACACACACACACACACACACACACACACACACACACACACACACACACCACUGGUGUUAAUGGAGAGGUGCGAGUUUAUUACACCACCCCUCCUUAACACACACACACACACACACACACACACACACACACACACACACACACACACACACACACACACUCCACUGGUGUUAAUGGAGAGGUGCGAGUUUAUUACACCACCCCUCCUUAACACACACACACACACACACACACACACACUCCACUGGUGUUAAUGGAGAGGUGCGAGUUUAUUACACCACCCCUCCUUAACACACACACACACACACACACACACACACACACACACACACACACACACACACACACACACACACACACACACUCACACACACAC